UACGGAGGAUGCAAGCGUUAUCCGGAUUUAUUGGGUUUAAAGGGUGCGCAGGUUGUUUGAUAAGUCAGUGGUGAAAGUCUGUCGCUUAACGGUAGGAUUGCCAUUGAUACUGUUAGACUUGAAUAUGGAUGAGGUAGGCGGAAUGUGUAGUGUAGCGGUGAAAUGCAUAGAUAUUACACAGAACACCGAUUGCGAAGGCAUCUCACAAAGCCGUUAUUGACGCUGAGGCACGAAAGUGUGGGGAUCAAACAGGA
rnacentral:rRNA from 1 species